rnacentral:rRNA from 1 species
UACGGAGGGUGCGAGCGUUAACCGGAAUAAUUGGGCGUAAAGGGUACGCAGGCGGAUUUUUAAGUGAGGUGUGAAAUCCCGAGGCUUAACCUGGGAAAUGCAUUUCAAACUGUGAAUCUAGAGUACUGUAGGGAGAGGUGGAAUUCCAAGUGUAGCGGUGAAAUGCGUAGAGAUUUGGAGGAAUACCGGUGGCGAAGGCGGCCUCUUGG